CUAGAAUAUUCCACAUUUUAUUUCUUUAUUUGAUGAACUCUGCUCUUUUAUUUAUGCCUCUCUAGUAAUAGUAACAAUUCUGAUUUAUAUUCCUAAAACUGAGAAGAGAUUGUACAUGCUAGAGACUCCAUCAAAGUUACAGCAUCAUCAUCAUUCAGUUAGUAGCCUGUUUUUGGUGUUUCUCGUAUAAAGAGAAGUGUGUUGACGUUCAGCUUGUAAUUAAGAUGGGUUAUGUGGUGGUCUUAUCGUUGCCAUUGAUACUUUUGGUACUUAUCAUAGCCAUUGCUUGCUACCUUAUAGGUAGGGCAAGAGGUAGAGAGGAAACAAUUACUGCAGUUCCAAUGGCAUAUCCUGCACCUCCCCCUCCUAUUCAACAAGCCCAGAUACAAACUGAAGACCAAGAUCCAACAGUGAAGCCUCAUGUAUAGAAAAAUGACAACUAAAGAUCUCCAUAUUGUGUAUUACUGAAUAGUCUUUGGUUUUUCAUCUCUUCUUGUUAUCGUUGACUUGUUUUAUGGCGUUGACUAGGUCAACACAACGAGGAAGAAAUUAUCAACUCAUCCUGUGUUCUACUAUUUUAAUUCGAGAAAAAUGAAAAUCUUUGUUGUAGAUUAUGUUUGUGAUAGAA